AAAAAAAUACUAGCUGUUACUCAGCGUCGUCAGUGUUUCCUUUUUUAAAGCUCUCUGCCAGCAAAGGUAAUUAGAUUACAGAGGAUUCUCUUAUUUAAAGACUUGAGUAAAAGCUCUGCUGUUUAUUUUUGGAUUAUCCAGAAAUAACAACGACGAAAGCUUCCAGAGGCACUAGUGGCCUCUAAUAGAAGUUACCCUUACCCUGUGGGACAGUUUUGUGUGGCAUAACUUAGUGGGUCAGCUAAGUUAGUGGUCUUUCUGCACCAGUGAGCUGGGAUCUCAUUUGAAUCGGUCCUGCUAGACUUGCUGAGCCAAGAGGCUGUCUGUUUGCACGGCCGCUGAUCAUGUCCCUCAGACUGCUGCCUGCUAUCGUGAUGGAAAACGACGAAGAUGAUGAUGGGAACUUCACUAACUGGAUGAGUAGUUACUGGGGUCACGGAUCAGAUUCUGGACAUUCCAGAGAAAGGAAACGCAGUUUCAGACGGCCUUCGAAAACACAAGUUGAUCGGAGAGCAUCACUCCCCACUGUGACACAGUUAGAUGCCAUGAAGCUGAACAGGAUCCACACAGCGUCCAAGGCGGCCAUUCCUAAAAGGAGGGAGGAGAAGGGGGAGGUAAGGCCCCAUCAGAGGGUACAUAGGAUCUCCUCGGAUGAAAGCCGGCCCAACACGGCUAUCCCAGAGAGCCGCAUCACACCCAUCCCAGAGAUCACAGAGUCCUUCCAGAGAAGGCUGUGCCUCAAUGAAAAGAGAACCAUGUCACUGAGCGAUAAAGACAAGGUGUUCCUGAAUUGUCAUGAAGAUCUGUGUAAAAGUGGAGAGAGACUUCAAGAACUACAGUGCACACAUCGCUUCCACAAAGAGGAAACCCGGAUGUUAGAGCAGAGUGUGCCACGCAGAAGAAGCGACACCGCAGCUUGUAUGUUCAGGAGGCUCUCGGAUGAGCGACGAAACUCUGCAGAUGGAUCCAUUUUCCCAACAAGGGAUCUGCACACCCCACAGCGUCAGCUUUCCUUGCGAAGACAUCGCUGAGACCUCUCAGUACAAGGGUGCCAUCUUUAAACAAACUAUUUUAAAUGUUUUCUCCGAACAUCAAGAUUCCUCCUUUGUCAUAAACAACAGUGUGGUUUCCUGAAAACUGCCCUUGCAUGGAGCAGUGGCUGUGGAUGAGACAGACAUGCCCAACAUGCCGUGUCCACAUCUCGGUGAUGAGGCCUCUCUACUGUACUUCGUCUCGUACCACUGUCCCAUGAGGAUGUAAUGCCUGCAUCUUACCUCCAGCACAUUGCAAUUACUCCUUCCAGUGCAUGACAACCCUGUUCUAGACCUUCUUCUUGUCUUAGAACAACAAGGACCUUCCAGGAGAAAUGCAGACAGACUUUAUCACAUACAACCAAUUACUGAGCUCUGAGAAGACAAUGACAAACUGCUCGAUUUGAUUCGGGUUUGAGCGUUGACCUUCACAUAAUAACUAAAGGAAACGCCCAGGGAACUCAGCUCCAGACAACAGGCAGUGUUGUAUUUAAACAAACUUCUAAAGGAAUGCCAAUUCGCUAAGGCUUCACCUCAACGUACAUCUCUAAAAACAGAGGACUGAGUCGGAAACAUUUUAAUUUGGAUGUGUUAAUAAUGCAGCUUAACUCAACAAUGUUGCAUAAUAAAUUCAAAACAGCAUAUUUUAUUCUAUUGUUGUUCAUUGUUACCCACAGACAAAUUAAAAAGGCAUUAACACUUGACAAUCAGUUCAAUUAGAUCCGUAAAACCCUAAAUUAAUAUUCCAUUAUUUCCCAUCAUAAGAACAUACAUUUCACCAAUAUAUUCCAAAAACAUCCCUUAGAGAUAAAAAAGGGGUAUUUUUUUAAUUAAUUAAUUAAUAUUUUGCAUUAGACACAAGAAGGGGCUUUCAAAUACUUUUCAAAUCUAAUUUCCAAUCUACACUGCCUCCCUUCCUUAGCCUUAAAGCCAGCUGGAACAGCAGAGGAGCGUUGGGUGUGUCCAACCUGCACCGGCUUGCCGCAGGUCAGAGUAGCUAGUGGGACUAAGAAAAUAAAUGAUGGGCAUCGCCAACUUUCUAAGCAGUUUCUUAACAUGUAGAGCUACGUCUGCCAUCAUCUCUAAGCUUUUAAAGACAACUGUGUGCCCUUCACUGCUUAAUGCAAUGUUUACUGUGUGCGCAGUAAAAGUAAAUGUUAGCGUAUAUCGUGCAUCUAUUUUAAGCAUGUGCAAUUAUAGGCUGCUAAAAUGAUCCUAUUUAGCCAGUGACAGAGCUAGAAAAUUUCACAUGAGAGAGAAAGGAGACAGGCUGGAAUUCUCAAUCUCUCAAGGAGUUAACAAAACAUAAAAGAAACCCUUUGAAAUUUUUAUUUUGUCAUCUUUUCUCCAAAGGAAGAAAGACAAUUUUAAGUAUAAGCUCACUGAGAAAGAUGUUCUACAAAAUAAGAGAGAAAUUAAUAAAGAGAACAAUUAAAAAAACACCUAAAUGAUCAUAAUGGAAUGAUUUUAGCUGUCACUUUUAUGAGUGUUUACAUUGUUGUUAUCUUAUACUAUUGCUUUUCAUGCUGUUUGCAAAGUACACCAAAGGAAGUUGUAUUUCAGUUUUGUUGUACCCUGUAUAGAUUAUUCUAUUCGAUUCUGUUCUAUUAAAUUCUAUUCAAUAUUUCUGCAGUGGAAUUUAUACAGAAAAUAACUAUAUCAGGAGGUGCAGUUGCAUAGGCUGGAUUCCCUGACUUUGUAGCUUCCUUUUCUGCAUCAAUUCCACUUAUGCUAAGAUAGUUUUCCUCAUCUUCAGUCAUCGCUACAGCUGUUACAGUCUCGUUAUAACUCUUCUUUCCUCAUAUCUCACAGUCCUUUUUCUUUAUUGUAAUACCUCAUUUUUUGUGACAGAAAGUAGAAAUGUCAUAACUUAAAUUUCAUUUUCAUUUUGAUAGGCAAGCAUCAAGAUUUUAGAAAAUUAGCACUU